CGGACGGGUGAGUAACGCGUGGGUAACCUGCCUUGUACUGGGGACAACAGUUAGAAAUGACUGCUAAUACCGCAUAAGCGCACAGUAUCGCAUGAUACAGUGUGAAAAACUCCGGUGGUACAAGAUGGACCCGCGUCUGAUUAGCUAGUUGGUAAGGUAACGGCUUACCAAGGCGACGAUCAGUAGCCGACCUGAGAGGGUGACCGGCCACAUUGGGACUGAGACACGGCCCAA
rnacentral:rRNA from 1 species